UACGAGCCUCACAAACGUUGUUCGGAUUUAUUGGGCGUAAAGGGUGCGUAGGCGGCGGAGUAAGUUGGGUGUGAAAUCCCGGGGCUUAACCUCGGAAUGGCAUUCAAUACUGCUUCGCUUGAGUACUGGAGAGGAGGCUGGAAUUUACGGUGUAGCAGUGAAAUGCGUAGAUAUCAGGAAGAACACCCGUGGCGAAAGCGGCUCUCUGGAACGGUACUGACGCUGAGACGCGAAAGCGUGGGGAGCGAACAGG
rnacentral:rRNA from 1 species